rnacentral:rRNA from 1 species
AUAAGCAAAAUAAGGGCGUAUGGGGAAUGCCUAGGCUCUCAGAGGCGAAGAAGGACGUGAUAAGCUGCGAAAAGCUACGGGGAUCGGCACACACGACUUGAUCCGUAGAUAUCCGAAUGGGGCAACCCACUAUGUUGAAGACAUAGUAUCCUUUAUAGGAGGCGAACCCGCUGAACUGAAACAUCUAAGUAGGCGGAGGAGAAGAAAACAAAAGUGAUUCCGUAAGUAGUGGCGAGCGAACGCGGAAUAGCCCAAACCAAAGUUGUUACGGCAAUUUUGGGGUUGUAGGACCACGACAUUUCUUGCGGAUUGAAUUAGAAUUACCUGGAAAGGUAAACCGAAGAGGGUGAUAGUCCCGUAUAAGUAAGAGAAGAUAAGAAUAGUGGUAUCCUGAGUAGGUCGGGGCACGUGAAACCC